AGUCUAUGAAACAAAAAAAAACAAUGAAAAUAAUGUUAUCCCCUUGAAAUCUCUUAAGCCUUUCAAGAACUCAUGGCAUAUCCUGGUGAAAUUGCUUCAUGUUUGGAGACAGUACUCUGUCAAGAGUGGUGAAUAAAUUGAAAUAAUUUUUGUUGAUCAAGUUGGUGAUAAAAUGCAUGCCGCCAUGAGAAAAUAUCACAUCAAUUUUUUAAAAAAAAUGUUUAACAGAAGGUUCUUGGAAGAUUGUAACGACCUUUGGUCUCAAUUCUUCCAGUGGCAUGUAUAGAGUUUCGGAUUUGAAGUUUAAUAUUGGAUUUUUCCAAAACA